rnacentral:ncRNA from 2 species
GAUCCCAAGGGAGAUGGCAUUCCUCCACGGAGUCUCUGACGGAGACUCUCAACCGCCGCAAGGCUGAUGAUGCCUACGUAGCU